rnacentral:rRNA from 1 species
GACGAACGCUGGCGGCGUGCUUAACACAUGCAAGUCGAACGAUGAAGCUGGAGCUUGCUCUAGCGGAUUAGUGGCGAACGGGUGAGUAACACGUGAGCAAUCUGCCCUUGACUCUGGGAUAACUGCGGGAAACUGUAGCUAAUACCGGAUACUUUCACCGGGGGGCAUCCUCUGGUGAUGAAAGAAUUUCGGUCAAGGAUGAGCUCGCGGCCUAUCAGCUUGUUGGUGAGGUAACGGCUCACCAAGGCGACGACGGGUAACCGGCCUGAGAGGGUGACCGGUCACACUGGGACUGAGACACGGCCCAGACUCCUACGGGAGGCAGCAGUGGGGAAUAUUGCACAAUGGGCGCAAGCCUGAUGCAGCAACGCCGCGUGAGGGAUGAAGGCCUUCGGGUUGUAAACCUCCUUUAGCAGGGAAGAAGCGAAAGUGACGGUACCUGCAGAAAAAGCACCGGCUAACUACGUGCCAGCAGCAGCCGCCG